rnacentral:misc_RNA from 1 species
UUGUCAUUAGUAAAGAUGGUGCUAGCAAGAAAAAGGAAGUGACAGAUAAGGGGAAGUUCAGUCCUGGCGUUUAAGUGUCUCCAACUGGUAUUUCUUGGAAAAAAAAGAAUCCAACUUGAACAUGUACUAUAUGUAGUGCAAUAUAUUAGCCAAUUUGUAAUUUUGAUGCAGAAAGCCAGUGCUCUCUUGUGUUAUUUUAAACAACUGAAGGCGAAAGAGAUCCCAAAAUCUAAUAAAAUUGAUGGAGGUUUUGUUUCUCAAAA